UUUAAACAAUACCUCUGCAGUGGCGGCCCCCCCACAUCCGGAGCAGAGGUCGUAGAGAUGGUGGAAGCCGUCGACCAAGAUGAGGAGGCUGAUCUGAGGAAGCUGAGGACUUGGAGACGGCAUUGAUGCGAGAGAAAGAGAGAGGUGGGACUUGAGAUGGCAUCGAUGCUAGAGAACGAGAGAGGUGGGAUUAGGAAAGGAAUUUUUGCAGACAAGAG
rnacentral:lncRNA from 1 species